rnacentral:sRNA from 1 species
GUCUGAAUACACUCGGGCUAGAGGAGAUGGAAUUACGUGAAAGGUUUGUUUGUGAGGACGACGCGUAUAAUUAUCCUGCAAGACACGAGGUUUUAGGUAAAAAUAUGGAAAAUAGAGAUCCAAUCUAAAUUACUAAACACAGCACAUCAGUCCCUUGGAUAUGAUAGCAGUUCUAUGAAUUUCUGCAAAAAUAUGGAAGGGAUUAUGGAUUCCGAUAUCACUGCUUAAGGAAAGAAAGAAUCGUACCUUCAACUUCUUCUACUUUGAUCUCCGGCAUAUCCUCACCACCCUCUGCCAUUUUUCCAGAAAAUUUUUGUUCCUCACAAAUUUGCAACACCUUGUCAAAUCAACACCAGGCAAACGAACAGAGCUGCAGGACUAAAUGGACACACUUUUGAAAACAAGUGGAACUUUCGUGAAUGCGUACAAGACAAAAUAAAAAAGAAGUUCGUUAAAGAAAAUUACGGAAUUGAUUCAAUAGUAAAAUCUAUGAUGCAUUUUUUAAGUCAAUUGACGUAAGGAAACUGGCUGAGAAUCCAAUACCUGACUUCAACGCUUCGAUGUGUCGUACUCAUCAUUACAAUGCACAUAGUGCUGUCGUCACAUUGUCAGGGGCAAUGACGUCCCUUGGCAACUGUACAACCGCCAAAACGCGCGGGACAAACUAUCUGUCAUGUCAUUGAUAGGUCCUGCCUUCGCUAGAGUAAAAGGUAAAUAGUUAUGUUCAUUAUUGUUAUUAAUUAACACUCAGUAUCAUAAAAAUACAAAUGUGGUCGAGUUAUUUAAAUAACAUUAUUAUCUUCUUUUGUAACAAUGACAUUAAAAAAUAAAAUAUCUGUUGCAUUUU